rnacentral:rRNA from 1 species
AUUGAACGCUGGCGGCAGGCCUAACACAUGCAAGUCGAGCGGUAGAGAGAAGCUUGCUUCUCUUGAGAGCGGCGGACGGGUGAGUAAUGCCUAGGAAUCUGCCUGGUAGUGGGGGAUAACGUCCGGAAACGGACGCUAAUACCGCAUACGUCCUACGGGAGAAAGCAGGGGACCCUCGGGCCUUGCGCUAUCAGAUGAGCCUAGGUCGGAUUAGCUAGUUGGUGGGGUAAUGGCUCACCAAGGCGACGAUCCGUAACUGGUCUGAGAGGAUGAUCAGUCACACUGGAACUGAGACACGGUCCAGACUCCUACGGGAGGCAGCAGUGGGGAAUAUUGGACAAUGGGCGAAAGCCUGAUCCAGCCAUGCCGCGUGUGUGAAGAAGGUCUUCGGAUUGUAAAGCACUUUAAGUUGGGAGGAAGGGCAGUAAAUUAAUACUUUGCUGUUUUGACGUUACCGACAGAAUAAGCACCGGCUAACUCUGUGCCAGCAGCCGCGGUAAUACAGAGGGUGCAAGCGUUAAUCGGAAUUACUGGGCGUAAAGCGCGCGUAGGUAGUUCGUUAAGUUGGAUGUGUAAUCCCCGGGCUCAACCUGGGAACUGCAUUCAAAACUGACGAGCUAGAGUAUGGUAGAGGGUGGUGGAAUUUCCUGUGUAGCGGUGAAAUGCGUAGAUAUAGGAAGGAACACCAGUGGCGAAGGCGACCACCUGGACUGAUACUGACACUGAGGUGCGAAAGCGUGGGGAGCAAACAGGAUUAGAUACCCUGGUAGUCCACGCCGUAAACGAU